ensembl:lncRNA
GCACACUCGCUCUCUCAGCCCGCGGGUUUCGGAACAAGAAGAAAGGAGAAAAAAGAGCACAAGCGCAUCGUUAAAGCCGACUAACGUGAAAACACGUGACAAGACGAAGGCUCAGAGACAGACCUCAUCCUUUUACUUUAACCAUGAAACAUGAAGCUGUCGCUCAUGAGACAGGAGCUCAGCUUUCAGCGUCACAGCUGGAACAACAUCAGCUGACAUGAAAGACACACAGACGUUUGUUCCCUGUUAGCAAAGAUGAAGAUGGAGAGCGUGAGGGAACUACAGAGAGGAGGAGGAGGACACGAGCUGUGAGGGACGCAGUGGACCAGCCCUCAGACCUACAUCAGCAGGAGCGAGGACGACCCCCCCCCCCCCCCCCCCCCCCCAGUGUGCGGACGUUCCCACCACAUGAAUGGGGGACAGGAGGCGCAGCUUCCAGCCCAGCUGGUAGGAAAGUCCUCCUUGGGUGGACUUCUCUGUAACUAUGGACUCGUGCAUGCAGACGUUUCAGUCCACAGUGAUGUCAGUCAGUGCUUUUUAAAGAUGUGCAGGAUGUGAAAUCUUCAGUUUGAUUGUUAAAUGUUCGUUCACUUUGUUUGUGCUUCAAAUAAAUUCACUUCAUGGAUGAAACAGUU